ensembl:lncRNA
ACGACAGUACUCGCUUGAUGCAUGCUUCGAAUUGGAACAGUGCUCGGGCAACGACUGAUGACGUUUCACGAGUCCACGACGAGCACACACAACUGACGCAAAAGUACGCAAAUUGAGAAACGGCCAUUGGGAAACGCCCAUGCACACACCGCAGCGGCACACUUGCCAAGUGUUGGCAGGAAGGACAGAAGACACCUGGGAAGGCUUUUUUCUGGUGUGUAUGUUCUUGUGUGUGUUUGUGUGUGUGUCUGUGUCAUGUGCGCACGUGGUUGAUUGAAUGAGCAAUCACACAGUGAGACCUUGACAAGGAUGUUGCAUGAGCACGGCAAUGACCCCUGAAGGGCAAGGACUACUGGACUGCAGCUCUUCCUGCAUCCCUGAGCAGUGGCCGGUUCCAUCACCACUGUCGCUCAUCGGCACCACCAAGAUUCAAGUGAAUGCCCUUGCCCAUUCGACGCACUUCAUUUGGAACAUUGCUGAAGGCCAGACAAGGGUAUGGCCCGUCCCUCCAUCUCAGACGGCUUUAUCCCAACGUGAGCCAGGUUGUGGACGUGGAUCAUCAGGCUUGGCUAUGACAAACAUUCCAAGGGUUAUUGGCACAAAACUGAAGAAGAUGGAGUGUUUUCGUCUGGGGAACAGAAAACACUCAGGAAGAGUUGGCCAGAGGAGCAUGCUCUAGAUGAAUCGUGCGAUUCAGCCCACAAACGUGUAUUAUAUUUUGGCUGUAUCAUUUUUGCUGCAUAGCGUUUAAGUUGGUAAGAUUCACACCAGUCUUUUUCCAAUAGAACGAUGUGUGAUUAAAUAACAAAGGAGUCAAGAAACAUUUAUUCACUCCGGCCUUAUGAACGGCAAAUCAAGAAGUGUUCUCAAUGUUUGGUGCUGCUGGCGAUGCUUUGACGCUUCAAUAGUUCCUUGAAGGCAAUGGAUGCAAGUUAACUUUUUUUGUUGGUUUCAUAUCGUUUUUGAUAAAGAACUGUUAUUGUUCAGUUUCUUUCUUUAAAUUAUGGGGUAAUAAAACACCUAGCGAAUCUCUUCCUGAUUAAUUGGUAUCUAUGGGCUGGCAUGCUCUUUUUAGCUACAAAAAA